rnacentral:rRNA from 1 species
UACGUAGGGGGCAAGCGUUGUCCGGAUUUAUUGGGCGUAAAGCGCUCGCAGGUGGUUCGAUACGUCGUGCGUGAAAGACCCCGGCUCAACUGGGGAGGGUCGUGCGAUACGGUCGGACUGGAGGCCAGUAGGGGGAUGCGGAAUUCCGGGUGUAGUGGUGGAAUGCGUAGAGAUCCGGAGGAACACCAGCGGCGAAGGCGGCAUCCUGGACUGGUCCUGACACUCAUGAGCGAAAGCGUGGGGAGCGAUCCGG